UACGAAGGGGGCUAGCGUUGCUCGGAAUUACUGGGCGUAAAGCGCACGUAGGCGGCUUUCUAAGUCGGGGGUGAAAUCCUGGAGCUCAACUCCAGAACUGCCUUCGAUACUGGAAAGCUCGAGUCCGGGAGAGGUGAGUGGAACUGCGAGUGUAGAGGUGAAAUUCGUAGAAUAUUCGCAAGAACACCAGUGGCGAAAGGCGGCUCACUGGCCGGUACUGACGCUGAGGUGCGAAAGCGUGGGG
rnacentral:rRNA from 1 species